rnacentral:lncRNA from 1 species
UCCCAGAUGGAGCCACAGCCCCACACCCACUCAGCUUCCUCUGGGCAGCAUGGACACAGUGUGGGAGCUCACUGCACAGCAGGAGGAGGACACAAGGGCAGGGGGAGAGGAAGGAGAGGAAGAAUGAGCACAAUUUUCCUUUCCUUUUAAAGGUUUUGGCAGCAAAAGCACCAAUGGGGAUGCUGAGGUGUGAUCAUCAGCACCCACACAGCACCACUGGUGGCUUCCCUUAGCCCCAGCUCCACCACACAGGGAUGGGAAAGGUGCACAAGUGGACAGGAAUUGCUGCCAAGGUCCACGGGGUGUCCCCAAGCAGGUGGGAACGGGGAUGCCAGGGGAAACAUCCUCAGCUCCACCACUGCUGCUUGGGAGAGCUUGGCCAGUCUAACACAGGCACACAUAAAACUAGGCAGGAGUGGUGUGUUUAAACUGCUGGGCUCAAGGAGUGCAAAUUGGAAAGAGACCCAGCAUGGGCAGGGGCUGCCUUGGCUGUUCCAUCUCAUUAAACCAUCCUCUAGGAAAGUCUAUUACAGCUCUCUCAGACUUGGACUAAACACAUCCAAGGUAACUCCACUAACCAGAUCCCAGGAUAAUCCCAGACACAUCUAAAUUAACUCCCACUAACCAGAUCCCAGGAUAAUCCCAGCAGGAUCCAGUGAUGGAUGGAGCCAAGCUGUGCUGGACACCACUAAAGAAACAGCCCUGAGCUGUGGGUUCAAGGGCUCCAUCCCAAAUACAGGAGCAGCCCAGGAGCUCAGACUGCAGCUGCCUCUCCUGCUGGAAAAGCACGGCAAGGGGAAUGGCAGAGCCCCCUCCAACCACAGCACACCAGUUUUUGUUCCCCAAUCCAUCUUGCAGAUUCCCAGCACUGCCUACUCAGCAUCUUCUACAGAUGCAGAAGUUUCUCAGCUGAUUAAAAAGUCUGGAGUAAAUAAAAAAAAGCAAUGAGUCAACGUUUUUAGGGGAAUUUCCUUCAGCUUCCUCUGCCUUUCCCCUGCUCAGCCCUGCUGCCCCAGACCCUGCCUGAGGCUUCCCCACUGCAGGGUGCUUGUUCCUGCUGAGAUUAAACCACGGCUGCAGGAGAGAAGUGACGCUGUCACCACCCCCCCAGGCUCACCCUGUCUGCUGGAACAGGCUCUCACACACACUGAGCAGGGCACACCUGGGCCUCCCCCUCCAACCUGCCCCAGCGCAGCUUUCCAGGAGCCACAGCUGGCACACACUGGGGACUCUGGGGAGUCCAGCCUCCAGAG